UACGGAGGGAGCUAGCGUUGCUCGGAAUCACUGGGCGUAAAGGGUGCGUAGGCGGGUCUUUAAGUCAGGGGUGAAAUCCUGGAGCUCAACUCCAGAACUGCCUUUGAUACUGAAGAUCUUGAGUUCGGGAGAGGUGAGUGGAACUGCGAGUGUAGAGGUGAAAUUCGUAGAUAUUCGCAAGAACGCCAGUGGCGAAGGCGGCUCACUGGCCCGAUACUGACGCUGAGGCACGAAAGCGUGGGGAGCAAACAGG
rnacentral:rRNA from 1 species